CUGGCAGAGGUACAUCUUUUCCGAUGUUGAAUCCAUCACGGUCGUGAUGGAUUCACCAUCAAGUUUUAUUUUCGAAAACAUCCCACCCACUUUUGCCACAUCAUCUUUUGUAAAAACAAAACAUUUUGUUUUUCUAAAGCAAGGCUAAGCAUCAAAAUCUUUUGUAAAACGGGUGAUCAAGGAAGGUAAUCAAAUUCAAGGAAGGUAAUGCAUGAAUUGUUUUAUCAAUCAACUCCUAUCACCUAAUGCAGCAAGCAAGUGAGAAAGAUUUUAAAACAUCAAGGAAGGUGGCAAAUGCACCGGGGCUUGCCUUCGUUUACAGGUGAUUCGGGUUCGGAUCCACAGAUAUCGAAGUAGAAACUAUUCCCGGCCUGGGAUUCCGAAGGUGGUGGUGUCCUGUCUUCAGUGACUUCUAUCUCUUAUUCACGUUCUAAUCAUAACCAUACAUAAGUAUAAGAAUGGAUGCCAUGGGAUGCUCAUGAGGAUGCAAAGAUAGCAAAAACUUAUUAUUUAUGUCUUGAAUACAACUUUCCUUCACGGAGUUUCGGGAACUUAGGGUUUCCGGAGUCGGUAAAGGAGUUCAUAGGGCAGGGGGUGUUUUGGGGUUUGGUGAUCAAACAAGGUCCAAAUCAAUUUAAACUCUACCCAUAGCUUCUAAAUAAUGUGAAAAGCUCACAUAAAAAGUUUGGGCAAUUUUGGGAUUAUUAUCUAUUUUCUAAAAAUCCAGAACCAGUAGUUUAGGCUAUUUUAAAUACUCUAGAAUUCCCUAUUUGAUCUAAAAAUCAUGAAUUUAUUUUUAUUAAAUACUACAGGAAAUUAGGGUUCUAAGAAAAUUGGUCUCAUAUUUUUAGGAUUUUCCUACCAUUUUCUACACUUUUUCAAAGUUCUGCUGAAAAAGAAAAAGAAAAACUCUAAACAGUACUGGGCUCAAACAAGCCUGCGUCGGCCCAGUUAGGGCAGAAGUGCGCACAUGCGCGCGCCCGCGCCCGCGCGCUGGCUGUUUUGCGCAAAGGGACUUGGGGUUUGGACUAAAUAGAAGUGAGUUUGGUCACUGUUGCUCUGGGUCGCUGACUGUUUGCAGAAAAGACCUCCGAUUCCUAUUUCUUCGCAGGGAAAAGUCCACGACGUCGAGCGGCGCUGCAGAGCUCCGGCGAGCUCACGCACCGGUCGAUUUACGCAAGGACCGACGCUAAUCUUUGGUAGAGAUCAAAUCUGAGACCUAACGAGGGUUUCCCCUCAAACAAUUUCAUGAAUAGCUACCCGGUUUGCUCUGGCUACGGCGACCGUGGGCAUCGGGGAAGAACACGGGCGUUCACGGCGAUGAGCUUCAGUCAAACUCCAAAUUGUUGCGUCCAGGGGCAAUAAGAGAUCACAUACUAACUAAAACAAAGAGUAAUUUGAUCAUUACUGACCGGAGGGGCGCUGGCCACGAUGAGGUUGGAUUUCGGGUGUGCUUGAACUGAAUUGGGGCGAAUGCAAAAUUAGAGCUUGUAGGGAAUCGACUAGGAGCAAUACUUGGCGUGGGGGUGCACAAUGAUAUUGCGAAGCUAGCCACGAGCUCAAUUUAUAGGCAGCUUCGUCGGUGGCACUUGAAUUGAAGAUGGCGCGGUGGCGGCCGGAGAGGAAAAAGGCUACUGGUGCAAGUGAACUCGUGGCAACCGUCGUGGCGACAACCCCGGUGAUCGGCGGGAAGCUAAAACGAAGCGCGGCGAUGCGGUGGAGGUACUCAGAUACGUGGCGCAAGGCCGUGCGACGGUGGUUCCCCGGCGAGCUUAUCUGCUCAGCCGCAAAACAGAAAGGAGAUGGUGACGGUGAGUCACCGGAGUGACCUCCAGCCCACCGACGACAAAGAUCUUUCCUCUCGCGAUGUUAUCCACCCACCCGAGCGCGAAUCCUAACGUCGGCGACACGUAUUGUGGCGGAGGAGUGAUCGACGGCGGUGAAGUGCUCUGAACCCAAGCAGGUUACUGUACCAUCGACUAAACCAUUCAGUUGGCCUGACAGCCAAUAUUUAGGCUCGAUUUGCUCACAAAUCCCUAUGGUAACACAUUCCAUGCUCUGCAGUAAAGUUGGAGAGCUACAAAUCAGUUACAUCUUUAUUAUAGCACUCCAAGACAGAUUCUCUCUGGAUCAGGGCUAAAUUGGCUCUCAAACCUGGAUCCAAGUCACUGUCCAUCUGAAAUUCAGAUUGUAUCAGCUUGACAGUCCAACUUUGGGCUUAAUUAUCUCUGGAUUUUUCUUAACAACUGAGCUCACACUCUUUAGCAAAGUUGUUUACCUAUAAUUGGGCUACAAUUUUGAUGUGGUGACCUAGGGCACAAACCCCAUAAUUUGAAAGUUACAAGGGCAAUCACACUGAAAUGCAGACUUAACCAAAAAGGGUUAAGUAUGACUCUUUUGCACUUAAGUCCAAAUCUCAAGUUUUGGAUUGCAAAUUCACAUAUGAUUGACCCAAAUGACCUAAUAUACUUAUUUAACUUGAUUUUUGCACUUUAACCCAAAAGUGGGCUGAUUUUGCACAUAAGCCCCUAGGGUUUGGUUUUAGGGUUUUCCAGGGUUCCAAUUAGGGUUUCUGGUAUCCCAGGGGUAUAAAAGUGAUUCAAGUUUAUUCUUGGGGUCAUUUUAUGACUUUUACCCUAAAGUCUUUAGGUUUUCUCAACUUGGGUUAAGUUUCACCCCUUUAACCACUGUUUAGGGUUAAGUCCUUUAACCAGGGUUCUAUUUGCAAAAACAUUAAAACAAUACAACUUGUUUGAAAUUUUUGCCUAGUGAAUGCACUCUAGGUGUGUCAAACAUAUGCAAUGCCAAUGCUCAUGAUGUCAUGCUCAAGUUUUAGUUAUAGUAACACCAGGGGUGUUACAUCCUUCCCUCCAUAAAAGAAUCUCGUCCCGAGAUUAAAAAUCCUAGGGUAGGUAAUGGUAAAGGAAACACAUCACAUUUUUAUUUCCCAAAUUCUGGUACAAGGCAAGGGUGAUGUGGGGGUCACUUCUUUAUUACACAGCUAUACAGACUUUACAAUUUACAUGAGGCUAGAAAGCCUGGGAAAUUCUUAUUCAAGAAGUCUUGAGUUUCCCAUGUAGCCUCAUCUUCAGAAUGCUGGUUCCACUGUAUCAUGUAAAACUUGAGAGUUUUUCUCCGGGUAACCCUGUCCUUUUGAUCCAGAACUCGAAUAGGAUGUUCUGAGUAUGUUAAAUCUGGUUCCAGGACAACAUCAGUCACUUCAACGGUUCGAUCGGGAACCCGAAGACACUUCUUCAAUUGUGACACGUGGAACACAUUAUGCACAACAGACAAUGUUUUGGGUAGUUGAAAUCGGUACGCCACUGGUCCACAUUGCUCAAUCACCAGGAAUGGACCAAUGUACCUGGGUGCAAGUUUACCUUUAACCCUGAAACGCGAUACACCCUUCAUUGGUGAAACUUUUAGGUAAACAUAGUCUCCUUCCAGGAAAUAUAAGGGCCUUCGCCGUUUGUCUGCAUAACUCUUUUGUCGAGUUUGAGCUUUCUUCAUAUUAUGAAUAAUUCUCUGAACCUUUUUCUUCGACCUCUUUCACCAUAUCAGGCCUAAAGAAGUAUCUUUCUCCAGGUUCAGACCAAUUUAGCGGAGUUCGACACCAUCGCCCAUAUAAAACUUCAAAAGGUGCCAUCUUGAUACUUUCUUGAUAGCUAUCAUUAUAUGAAAACUCUGCUAAGGGCAAACAUUCAUCCCAUCUUUGUGGGAAUUCCAGAACACAUGCCCGUAGCAUAUCUUCCAGUACUUGGUUUACUCUCUCAGUCUGCCCACUGGUUUGAAGAUGAUAGGCCGAACUGUGGAGCAACUUAGUACCCAGGGAUUUAUGAAGUUCUUCCCAAAAUUUGGAUACGAAUUGCGAUCCACGAUCCGACACUAUGGUUUUCGGAACACCGUGAAGACUAAGAAGACGAGCAAUAUACAAUUGGGCAUAGACAGUAACUGGGUGAUCGGUCUUGACUGGCAGAAAAUGAGAAAUUUUCGUAAACCGAUCAACAAUAACCCAGAUAGAGUCAUACCCUUUUGUAGUCCUGGGUAAUCCCAUGAUGAAGUCCAUACAAUAUUUUCCCCUUUCCAUGUUGGGAUAGGUAAGGAUUGUAAUGGACCAGCAGUCUUCAAAUAUAUGGCCUUGACACGUUUACAAGUGUCACAUCAAGCCCCAUAGUGUGCAAUUUCAAUUUGCAUCUUUGCCCACCAGAAGAACACAUAAGGUUCCAUGUGUGCAACUUGCUUUUUCUGAUGACACUGUACUAUCUGAGUCUGUUGGGUGGCAAUUAUGCAACUUUACCCAAAUAGAAUCAGAUGCACCAUCUUGGGUAAAACACACAAGAAUAGGUUUACCAACAAGUGGUUACAGUAAGUUUAUAGCACACGAGACGGGUGUGAAUGUCGAAUAACACCACAGUUGACCCGUGGCUAAACAGAAAAUCCAAGUCCCAAAAAGGUGACAUAGAUUCGAGAGAAUCAUCAGCGGAGGGAUCUAAAAAUGCGGACUUUGCAACCAGUCCAUUUUAUCCAGCACUAGUCAUGGAUCGGCAUGAUCACACAUGCAGGAAAAACACGCGUGAGUCGAUCGAGGCACGACUAGAGCGAUGAUUAGGUGGUUAUUGGCUGACUUAAUCUCAUUUUGGUAAGCACUCUCUUUAGGGUGGGUUGAACCAAAGCGAGUUUAGACAUCUCGAUAAAACGAUCUCUAAACUCAGUCUUCGUUCAUUGGGCAAUUACAAGUUAGUCAAAACCAACUUGUUGAACUACUUUUGACAUUGAGCAAGUUCUCUUAGUACCUUCGGUAAGCCAAGGGUUGAGAGUUCAAUUUGCACGCAAAAGGUCAUGCAUUUGGGUAGAAAUCCAUUUGGUCAGGUUGUUCAUCCGUUUCUUCAAGCGAGAUGAAUUAUCCACUUGGUUAGGGAAUACAUGGAUUAAUUAGGAAAGCGAAUGAACAAACUCCUGCAUUCCAGCAGCAGGGAAAACCAGUCUUCAUUUUGGGAGCUAAUCAGUUGUUUUCCAACACUAAAAAGCUCCAAGGCUUCACCUUUACACAAAGGAUGCAAAGGGAACUUGUGUGAGUAGUCACUACCAAGAUCAAAAGAAAUAAGACCACACAUGAAAGUGGUAUGCCCUUUUGAUCCAAUGGAAAUGACAGAUGUUGCUUGAUCUCUUCACAAACAACAUAGAAAUUGUUUUAAGGAAAGGUCAAUGGGAGAUAACACAUCAGUGUAAUUCCAUAAUGGAUCAUGACUAGAGACCUCGAUACCGACAUGCGCCAAGCAGCAAAAUCCUGGGUGAGGUUCGCAGCUUCACCGCGGUACCAUAAGUCCUUAACCAUGACACCAUUACAAAACUGGUACCAAUAAUGAAUCUCACGUGGUAAAAAUAAUUUGUGUAGAGAUAACAUAUCACUAUAGUCUUAUAAUAGAUUAUGACUACUAACGGUGAUACCAGCGUGCAUCGAGCAGCACAACCAUGUGUAUGCAUCCACAGGAGGCCCUCGGUUUUAUCGCAGUAUCAUCAAUUAAAGUCAUAACACCAUUACUCGACAUAACCAAUAAGAAAUCUCGUGUAACACUAAUGAAUUGGGUAAGGGUGACAAUAUACAAAGAGAUACUCUACCAGUAAAGAUGGUUACAAGUAGAGAGCAAAAUAGAUCAUGGCCCAAAGAAGUGAACAAGGCAUGGCCAUAACCUAAACUUGAUGAAAGGAGUAUGAUGGGAGACUGUUAAUUCAGCCCAAGCAUAUUUCUAUGCCCAUCAUAGAAAUCACAAGGUCAAGGAUUAAGUUGGUAGGCCUUCGAUAGAUAUAAAGGAACCAAAGGCACCAAACUCAAGGAAAUGGUCGGACAUGUCUUUUCUAGGUUGGGUUGAUAGAGCAACACGACGAUCCGCAAGGAGAGGCCAAAUACAGUAGAGACUUCAACCUAUUAUACAACAGUACACCCUACAAUACACUACUCUACUUUUAUUACACCAUUAUUCCUGCUUUCCAUUAGUCUUGGCGGCCUCAUCGUCAGGUGUGGGAGUCCAGACAUCAACCAACCUCAAAGAAGGAGGGGGCUCAAAAAGGUCUAACUCCCCACCCAGCGCACGUCCCACAACGUGAGAUGGUCCGGCUUCUGCCUCAGCAGGUUGUGCAGGCUCACUUGGGUGUAAUUGUGAGUAUAAUAUAUAUGGACUUCCUCGUGCAAUGUAUUGCAGUAAACCUGCAGGUUAUCAACCGUUGAGCUAAGUUCUUUAAUUCGGGCCUGAGCCCUUGCUUCCUUAGCACACAUUAGCAAACGAGACUGUACGGCCCAGUCAAGUGCUAAGUCUCGAUCAGCGAGCUGAUCCUGCAGAUGUCGGAUGUCCCUUCUCAGUUCAUUGAUUCUAUCUCCGUCGGCGACCCAAGCAUCGGUCCUAUGUUGCAGCGCUGCUUGAAGUCGACUCACACGGGUUUCAAGAUCUCCGAUGGGGUCAUUACUUCCACUGCUGCUGCUUUCAUGUCGGGGAGCCAAUUGAUGCCGAGGCACCCCAAUUGGUCCCGUAGACUUGCGUGCCGUUAGCCUGGUGCGUGGCGGCAUCUUUCUAAGGGGGAAAAUGUUAUUAGUAUAGUGCUUAGCAUGAUGCAUGUAUAAUUACAGAAUCAACCUUAGUCGAUUCAACCUUCUAUACGUUGCACUCUUCCUAUCUGGUCUUUAAGAUAGACUCUUCAGAAUACUUAGGUAAGAAGAGAAAAGAAUUUUUAGGUAAGACUUUUGAAAAUCCUUUUGAAGAUGCCUCAUAAUAUCUGCCAAGAAGGGCUACGCUCCGAUACCAGCUGUGACGGAACCUCCCAAGUAAUUAGGCCCACCUACAGUUGUCCUUGUCCAACAGACAUCAGACACCCUGUAGAUGUUCCUAAGUCACUUGAUAAGUUCGGUAUCCUUCCUUACCUUACCAGGAACGUUUCACCCGUCUUGCAGACAUUACAGAACAUCGGAGAUAAAGAAAUGCGGAAGCGAUUACAUAAAUUACAUUUAUUUCAAAAGCAAGCUUGAGUUAUUUUAUUACAGACCAGACUAAAAGUGAGUGCAGAGUAGUAAUAUUAUACAAACCAAGGGAGGCACAAACUCCUCCCGAUAAGAUAUAAGCAAAAGAUCCUAAGUGGAGGACCGAGUCCUCCCGCACUUCAGUCUUGUUUUUCUUCUUUUGGAACCACCUUGGCACAGAAGCAGCAAAAGUCUGCUACUUCCUCACCUAAAAACAACGAAGGGAUGAACCCUAAGUAUGGAAUUACUCAGCAAGUCUUACCCGACUAAAGAAAAGACUCUCAAGGGUAUGCUGGUUAUAUGGGAGUCAAGGUAAGGCUUUUCAAUAUUCAAAGACUCUGUUUUGCAGAAAUGCUUACUAAAGUGGAUCCUUAAAAAAAUCCAAUUUUAUUUGUCAAGUUAAGUAAAAUUACCUGCACUAGAGUUCUUUCUACCCUAGUUCAAUCACUGGUCCUGUACUAGCCAAUUUCUCAACAAAAACCCUUUAUCUUUAGUGGAAUGCUACGUGUAAGUCAGUGGCCAAGUCUCCAUAACCGCGGAGGUACGGCGAUCCGAAUCGAUUAUACUCAGCUGAGGAUCUCCAAUCACACGACAUAUGUAGCACUUAACCCUUGCAUAUGUCAACCCGCCACCGGGGUUCUUAAGACCGGAUCAGGUUCACGCAAACCGAGAGCACAGAUACACCACCGUCCAGCCUCUUGCCACGGAGGGUACACGCUACUCUCGCCACCGCUCCACGCCCAUUUCGUGUUAUCUUAUUCCGGCCUUAGUCUACCCGAGGCAAGGCUUACCCAUGACGAGGCAUGUGACCAGUUAAAGGGUCCUCGGUCAGCAGGCCUACAUCGACAAGGUCCUUAAUCGACUCAGACGGAGACACUACACCGAGACUCUCUUCUCGUGCAAGUCACCCGCCCGGUCUCAGCUUAAUCAUUUAACCCAAAACUUGGUACCUGGCAGAGGUACAUCUUUUCCGAUGUUGAAUCCAUCACGGCCGUGAUGGAUUCACCAUCAAGUUUUAUUUUCGAAAACAUCCCACCCACUUUUGCCACAUCAUCUUUUGUAAAAACAAAACAUUUUGUUUUUCUAAAGCAAGGCUAAGCAUCAAAAUCUUUUGUAAAACGUGUGAUCAAGGAAGGUAAUCAAAUUCAAGGAAGGUAAUGCAGGAAUUGUUUUAUCAAUCAACUCCUAUCACCUAAUGCAGCAAGCAAGUGAGAAAGAUUUUAAAACAUCAAGGAAGGUGGCAAAUGCACCGGGGCUUGCCU
rnacentral:lncRNA from 1 species